rnacentral:rRNA from 1 species
CACGUACUGUGCGAACGUUAUUCGGAAUCACUGGGCUUAAAGGGUGCGUAGGCGGCGAUUCAAGUCAGAUGUGAAAUGCCUGAGCUCAACUGAGGCAUUGCGUUUGAAACUGAACCGCUAGAGUAUUUCAGGGGUAUGCGGAACUGCCAGUGGAACGGUGAAAUGUGUUGAUAUUGGCAGGAACACCGGAGGCGAAAGCGGCACACUGGGGAAUAACUGACGCUGAGGCACGAAAGCCAAGGGAGCGAACGGG